CUACGGGACGCUCCAGUCGCGAAACCUUUACAAUGCGCGAAAGCGUGAUAGGGGGAUUUCGAGUGCAAGCUUUGCUUGCUUUUGCCAAGCCCAAAAAGCUUGGCGAAUAAAUGGGGGGCAAGAUACGUGCCAGCCGCCGCGGUAAUACGUACUCCAUAAGUGGUGUCCACUAAUAUUGGGCCUAAAACGUCCGUAGCAUGUCCAAACAGUCUUUGGUGAAAGCAACUGGCUUAACCAAUUGAAUUGCCAAAGAAACUAUUGGGCUAGAGGCCGGAAGAGGUUAAGGGAAUUUUAGGGGUAGCGGUGAAAUGUUAUGAUCCCUGAAAGACCACCAGUAGCGAAGGCGCUUAACCAGGACGGACUUGACCGUGAGGGACGAAAGCUGGGGGAGCGACCCGGAUUAGAUACCCGCGUAGUC
rnacentral:rRNA from 1 species